rnacentral:rRNA from 1 species
UACGUAGGGUGCGAGCGUUAAUCGGAAUUACUGGGCGUAAAGCGUGCGCAGGCGGUUUUGUAAGUCUGUCGUGAAAGCCCCGGGCUCAACCUGGGAAUUGCGAUGGAGACUGCAAGGCUUGAAUCUGGCAGAGGGGGGUAGAAUUCCACGUGUAGCAGUGAAAUGCGUAGAUAUCAGGAGGAACACCGAUGGCGAAGGCAGGUCUCUGGGCUGACACUGACGCUCAUGCACGAAAGCGUGGGGAGCAAACAGG